UUCAAGCAAAGGGCCAGUCCGAUUGGGCCAACCAGACUUUAAUCUGACAAGCUUCUCCAACAGUUCCUUGAAUCGGGCCAGCUCACGUGGGCCAAAUGAUCCCCAUCUGAUUAAUAGACCUCCAUCGGAUGCAUUUGGUUCGAUGGUCACGGGCUUUGAACUCUGGCCCGUGACACUAGUGCCCUCCUUGGCUAUCUAAUGUACUCGAAGCUUUUAAUGAUGUAGUGGCCGGGUAAAGUUGAAGCACAAGGGAACCCCAC
rnacentral:lncRNA from 1 species